rnacentral:rRNA from 1 species
CGCCCUUGAGUUUGAUCAUGGCUCAGGAUGAACGCUGGCGGCGUGCCUAAUACAUGCAAGUCGAACGAGGUGCUUUUUGUAGCAAUACGAGGAGUAUCCUAGUGGCGAACGGGUGAGUAACGCGUGGGUGACCUACCCCAAAGUGUGGAAUAACAGUCCGAAAGGAUUGCUAAUGCCGCAUGUGGUCUGCGAGUUUAGAAAUCGUUGACUAAAGGGGCAAUCCGCUUUGGGAGGGACCUGCGUCCCAUCAGCUAGUUGGCGAGGUAACGGCUCACCAAGGCGACGACGGGUAGGGGACCUGAGAGGGUGGCCCCCCACAAUGGAACUGAAACACUGUCCAUACACCUACGGGUGGCAGCAGUAGGGAAUAUUGCACAAUGGGCGAAAGCCUGAUGCAUUUUUUUCGCGUGCGCGAUGAAGGUCUUCGGAUCGUAAAGCGCUUUUCUGGGAGAUGAGAAAGGACAGUAUCCCAGGAAUAAGUCUCGGCUAACUACGUGCCAGCAGCCGCGGUAA